rnacentral:lncRNA from 1 species
UACAAAAAGGAAGAUUUAAACAUGAGAGCUCAAGUGCAUAAGCGUAUGCUCUUAAGUCACCAAUUGAGCUACAAGGCACGUGCAACCUGCAACAUCUAAUUCACUUUUAAAAUUGAAAUGGUUGAUGUGUGGGAUUAAAUUAUUCUAUCAACUUCAAAAUUGCCCCCAUUCCAUGAUGCCACUUGUUUUUCUUAUAAAUAACACAACACAUGGAAUGCAUAUUGAACAUUGGUGAGAAGUAAGAUUAAAAUCAUAUCAAAGAUCGAUCCGCGCCAGCAAAUACAUGCGCUACGGCUACAUGCAUCAAGAAGUGAACAAUUAUAACUUGCGUGAACAGCCCGAAGAGAGCAAACGUUAGACAGAAGUUACUCUGCAUGCGAGUAUAGAAUGCUGUUGCAGUUUGGAAAGCACCGAGGACUACCAAAGAACAGUACUAUACACAUC